AUGAGACACUCAAGUGAUCUUCUCUUACCAAGUUGGAAAUUCAGUCUCAAAGGUUUGAAGCUCCUGUCGGGGCUGGCAAGUUCUAAGCUCGAGUCCAGGGCUAAUUCCCAAGGCCCAAGUACGUUUCUUUUCCCUCUUGGUUGCCUUCGGAGGCCAGAGAUCUGUGUUUUGUGUCUUUUGUUCCCUCUUCUUCUCUGCUCCUGGCCAAACUGCAGCCUGGGAUCAAAACAACAAACCAAGCAGCGGGCCUGCCCCUGCCCCCCUGGGGGGGUGGGGGGGUGCUGCCUCCUGCCACCCCACACCCACACCCAGCACGGGGGAGGGCAGCCGGUUGCUGGGCCUGGGAGGCAGCUGGAACAGAGAGCGAGGGAAAAUAGUUCACGGUCUGUGUGGCAAGGGGAGACGGGCCGCCCAGCUGUGGCCAGGAGAGCCAGGAGGCCAAGCCCAGCCCAGACAUUUCAAAAACAAACCUGGAUCCAGCUUUCCAUCCCCCCGGGGCGGGCCCCACCCUCCAGGAGGAAGGAGCAGACUGAUAUCUGUGUCCAGGGAGCAGGACCUCAGCUCUUGGACCCCUCCUUAGGACCGGGUCCUGGGCACAGACCAAAGCAGAGGUUGAAGAAGGUGGCACUUUGUAUACAGUGGUGCAGGUUAGUGGAGCGUGCACAGCCGCCCCAACGGGAAGCCCUCCAUUCCGAUCCCAACAGCUCUGUGGUCUGACCUUGCUGGGGUCCCUUUGUCUCCCUGGUCCUCAGCACCCUCUCGUUGUGCAUGUGGCCAAGAUCCUUGAGCGGAAGGAGCUAACGUGUGUGUGUGUGUGUGUGUGUUUGUGUGUGCGCGCGCCUGGAGCACAGUAGGGGUUCGACAAGGGCUUCGUCUCUCUCACUGUUGCUCCCAAGAGGAGCCCUGUGCCCGACCGAGCCACCAUUUAUUCUUGGGGACCAAGAGGGACCCUCACCGAAGGCAAUGCUGGCAGGAGUCACUGGCAGGGUGGAAGCCUAGCUCUCUCCAUCCAAUGAGCUGUGUGAUUCUGUAUCCAGGACGGGGUGCAGACAGGAGGAGAGGGGGGAUGUGAAAUGCAGAGCAAACCACGGCUAAAAAAAAAAAAAAAAAAAGAGGAAGAAGUCAACAUAAAAUAAAAUAUAUAUUUUUUUAACUUUAAUCA
rnacentral:lncRNA from 1 species